GAUGAACGCUAGCGGCAGGCUUAACACAUGCAAGUCGAGGGGCAGCACGGGUAGCAAUACCUGGUGGCGACCGGCAAACGGGUGCGGAACACGUACGCAAUAUACCUUUAUCUGGGGCAUAGCCCGAAGAAAUUCGGAGUAACACCCCAUAAAAUAAGAGAGUGGCAUAACUUAAUUAUUAAAACUCCGGUGGAUAAAGAUGAGCGUGCGUCACAUUAGCUAGUUGGUAGGGUAACGGCCUACCAAGGCGACGAUGGGUAGCUGGUGUGCGAGCACGACCAGCCACACGGGCACUGAGACACGGGCCCGACUCCUACGGGAGGCAGCAGUAAGGAAUAUUGGUCAAUGGACGCAAGUCUGAACCAGCCAUGCCGCGUGAAGGAUGAAGGUCCUCUGGAUUGUAAACUUCUUUUAUAUGGGACGAAACCCGGGAAUUCUUUUCCGAUUGACGGUACCAUAGGAAUAAGCACCGGCUAACUACGUGCCAGCAGCCGCCGUAAUAC
rnacentral:rRNA from 1 species